rnacentral:lncRNA from 1 species
CAGUCACUUUUCGUGUGUGCAUUCAUUGGUGUACAGAAUGGAAUUACAGAGGCAGAAGAAAAUGAGGUGUCUGCCAAAUUGAUAGUUUAAAAAACAUUUUAGUGGCCUACUUAACUGUAAUUUGUUUCAGUUUUAAACAAGAAAAACCUCAGCAUGUAAGCAAAGCAGACUGGACUUGAACAGAUAUGGAAUGCAAAGCACACAGGAGAGUCAUGGGGGUCCUGAAGAGGGAUUAAAAGUUGUUAUGCAAUGAACAACAUUGCAUUGGAGACAGAAUGGAUUAAAUUAAACAGUAGUGCAUAUCACUUGGCUGCAGUGACAGGAGUGAAGAACAGAAUGCAUCCACUCCUCCAGUCUCAUUCAGCUACCUCUUUCUCCUGAAAUUGGAUUGGGAUUCCAGGACACCUCUCAACCUACAGGAAACACUGGAUCUAAAGCUGAAACAGGUACCCAGUGCCUUUUGAAAAAUUAACUGCUCUAUUGAAAUAUAAUUUACAUAUCAUAACCCAGUACAGUUUCCACCCACAACAAAAUCCCUGAUUCUGGAACUUAAAAGGAAAA